rnacentral:misc_RNA from 1 species
CGCACAUUGCGCCCAUUGGUAUUCCGAUGGGCACGUCUGUUUGAGCGUCAUCACAACCUUUCGGCCCAGCAUUUUGCUGCCCGGUGAUGAGUUUGGUCCUGACCUGGCCUCCGUGCCGGGAACCAACUUUAAAGUUGUGCGCUCUGCGGGACGCCGACCCAGCAAAACAUAGUAAAACUGCUACCUGUUGAGCUGCGAGCGGUGGUUGCCCCGCCUGAAUAAACUCUUCUUGAAGUUUGACCUCAGAUCAGACGAGGAUACCCGCUGAACUUAA